CAGUAUUUUCAAGCAGGAACAUUGAUGAGUUGCCCUCCAUAUACAUAUUGUUCAGAAGGCAGCAGUCACUCUGGGAAAAAAAACACACAGCAGCAUGCCAGCACCAGCUUCUUCUCCUUCAGGAAGUGGCUAGCAAACCUUAAUAGACAAGCAGUUUUCCAAUAUAUUCAUACCGAAACAGAAAAAAAGGCAACCGUGAAAAAACAUAUUUUUUGCCAAGAAAACAACAUGGGCAUUUCCAAGACGCCUCCCUGAACUGAAGGUUGACUGUGUUAUGUAGCUUUCAUUAUCCUACCACUCAUUCUUAACAGCAGGUGUGAGCAUCGCUUGUCUUCUACAUCUGCAGCCGCCUUACAACCGACAGCACUGAGCAAAUUUCUGACGCUUCUGCUUUUACCACCUUCUGCUGUAUCUGCAGGCAUUUAUGAGUAAUAGAAAAAAUUGUGAGCCACGAUGGCGCAGUGAUUA